rnacentral:rRNA from 1 species
UACAGAGGGUGCGAGCGUUGUUCGGAAUUAUUGGGCGUAAAGGGCGCGUAGGCGGUGCUGUAAGUCUGUAGUGAAAUCUCUGGGCUCAACUCAGAGUCUGCUAUAGAAACUGCAGUGCUAGAGUGUGGGAGAGGUGAGUGGAAUUCCCGGUGUAGCGAUGAAAUGCGUAGAUAUCGGGAGGAACACCUGUGGCGAAAGCGGCUCACUGGACCACAACUGACGCUGAGGCGCGAAAGCUAGGGGAGCAAACAGG